CCAGAGCUGGAAUCACCUGUGUGUGAAGUGCAGGUUAGAAAUGAUCAGCUCCUCUGUGAUCACACCUCACCUGGCAGAGGUGUGAGGAGCAGCUCCAAAACUCCUCCAAGACUGCUUAAAACAUCUUUUAAUUUUUACCUUUUUGGUUUUAGUACAAUAAAGAACCAUAAGUCUGGAAAGAGAGCUGUUACCUGGUGUCACCUCAGUUUCAAUGUUUAGGUUACACAGAGAUGAGCAUCCUUGGAGCACCCCCAGAAUUAAAAACGACCAGACAUCAGUGUUGUUAUGCAGGAAAGGUACAGCAGCUCCUGCCCUGAGUUUCUGGAAGCAUUCACUGCAGACACAAGCAGCAAAGAACAUCCCUCCUGUGCUGCCUCAGAAGGGAAGCAGCAUGGAUGGACUGAGACCCCACAGAAGGAGUGAUGUGGCAGCAGGGGAAAUUCAGCUGUAAAAUGUGUCUUCAUUUACAGACACCUCCUUAGGGCCUCCCUAGUCACAGUCUCAAUUGUUCCUUUAUCAACUUUCUAAAGAGGAAAAUUGCAAAUUGCCUCUGAAAUCUUCCAACUCUUCCCCCUAAGACUGAACUUUUUACAUUAUUUAGAAGAGAGGGGCUCUUUUCUCUGUAAUGGGUCAUGUCUGGGGACUGGUAAAUUAAUACUUGUUUACUUAUAUCCUCCUGCUGUUCUGUUCAAAUACAUUCCAAGGGCUCCUCUUGCUGCAUUAAGGAUAUCAGCAUGUUGUUUGUUUUAUAACCUGGGAGAGAGCAUAACAAUAUAGCUUCUCACCAGGGUGCACACCAGC